UACGUAGGGUGCGAGCGUUGUCCGGAAUUAUUGGGCGUAAAGAGUUUGUAGGCGGUUUGUCGCGUCUGCUGUGAAAAUCCGGGGCUCAACCCCGGACUUGCAGUGGGUACGGGCAGACUGGAGUGUGGUAGGGGAGACUGGAAUUCCUGGUGUAGCGGUGGAAUGCGCAGAUAUCAGGAGGAACACCGAUGGCGAAGGCAGGUCUCUGGGCCACUACUGACGCUGAGAAGCGAAAGCGUGGGGAGCGAACAGG
rnacentral:rRNA from 1 species